rnacentral:rRNA from 1 species
AUUGAACGCUGGCGGCAGGCUUAACACAUGCAAGUCGAGCGAGCGGCGGACGGGUGAGUAAUGUCUGGGAAACUGGCUGAUGGAGGGGGAUAACUACUGGAAACGGUAGCUAAUACCGCAUACCAUCAGAUGUGCCCAGAUGGGAUUAGCUAGUAGGUGGGGUAAUGGCUCACCUAGGCGACGAUCCCUAGCUGGUCUGAGAGGAUGACCAGCCACACCGGAACGGAGACAGGGUCCAGACUCCUACGGGAGGCAGCAGUGGGGAAUAUGGCGCAAUGGGCGCAAGCCUGAUGCAGCCAUGCCGCGUGUGUGAAGAAGGCCUUCGGGUUGUAAAGCACUGUCAGCGGGGAGGCGUGACUCGCAGAAGAAGCACCGGCUAACUCCGUGCCAGCAGCCGCGGUAAUUC